AGACCCGAAACCCGGUGAUCUAGCCAUGGGCAGGUUGAAGGUUGGGUAACACUAACUGGAGGACCGAACCGACUAAUGUUGAAAAAUUAGCGGAUGACCUGUGGCUGGGGGUGAAAGGCCAAUCAAACCGGGAGAUAGCUGGUUCUCCCCGAAAGCUAUUUAGGUAGCGCCUCGUGAAUUCAUCUCCGGGGGUAGAGCACUGUUUCGGCUAGGGGGCCAUCCCGGCUUACCAACCCGAUGCAAACUGCGAAUACCGGAGAAUGUUAUCACGGGAGACACACGGCGGGUGCUAACGUCCGUCGUGAAGAGGGAAACAACCCAGACCGCCAGCUAAGGUCCCAAAGUCAUGGUUAAGUGGGAAACGAUGUGGGAAGGCCCAGACAGCCAGGAUGUUGGCUUAGAAGCAGCCAUCAUUUAAAGAAAGCGUAAUAGCUCACUGGUCGAGUCGGCCUGCGCGGAAGAUGUAACGGGGCUAAACCAUGCACCGAAGCUGCGGCAGCGACACUGUGUGUUGUUGGGUAGGGGAGCGUUCUGUAAGCCUGUGAAGGUGUGUCGUGAGGCAUGCUGGAGGUAUCAGAAGUGCGAAUGCUGACAUAAGUAACGAUAAAGCGGGUGAAAAGCCCGCUCGCCGGAAGACCAAGGGUUCCUGUCCAACGUUAAUCGGGGCAGGGUGAGUCGACCCCUAAGGCGAGGCCGAAAGGCGUAGUCGAUGGGAAACGGGUUAAU
rnacentral:rRNA from 1 species